rnacentral:tRNA from 1 species
GACUUGAGUAUGAUUGUUUUGAAAACAAUUUUUAAAGAAAAUUCUUUUUAAGUCU